rnacentral:rRNA from 1 species
GACGAACGCUGGCGGCGUGCUUAACACAUGCAAGUCAAGGGGGCUCGUAGCAAUACGGGCAACCGGCGAACGGGUGCGUAACACGUGAGCAACCUGCCGAUCUGCGGGGGAUAGCCGGCC